rnacentral:rRNA from 1 species
UACGUAGGAUGCAAGCGUUGUCCGGAAUUAUUGGGCGUAAAGAGCGAGCAGGCGGUUUGGAAAGUUGGACGUGAAAUUUUAGGGCUUAACCCUAAAGGGUCGUCCAAAACUCCCAGACUAGAGUGCAGGAGAGGAAAGCGGAAUUCCCGGUGUAGUGGUGAAAUGCGUAGAUAUCGGGAGGAACACCGGUGGCGAAGGCGGCAUCCUGGACCGACACUGACGCUGAGGAGCGAAAGCCAGGGGAGCAAACGGG